ACGAACGCUGGCGGCGUGCCUAAUACAUGCAAGUCGAACGAACUCUGGUAUUGAUUGGUGCUUGCAUCAUGAUUUACAUUUGAGUGAGUGGCGAACUGGUGAGUAACACGUGGGAAACCUGCCCAGAAGCGGGGGAUAACACCUGGAAACAGAUGCUAAUACCGCAUAACAACUUGGACCGCAUGGUCCGAGCUUGAAAGAUGGCUUCGGCUAUCACUUUUGGAUGGUCCCGCGGCGUAUUAGCUAGAUGGUGGGGUAACGGCUCACCAUGGCAAUGAUACGUAGCCGACCUGAGAGGGUAAUCGGCCACAUUGGGACUGAGACACGGCCCAAACUCCUACGGGAGGCAGCAGUAGGGAAUCUUCCACAAUGGACGAAAGUCUGAUGGAGCAACGCCGCGUGAGUGAAGAAGGGUUUCGGCUCGUAAAACUCUGUUGUUAAAGAAGAACAUAUCUGAGAGUAACUGUUCAGGUAUUGACGGUAUUUAACCAGAAAGCCACGGCUAACUACGUGCCAGCAGCCGCGGUAAUACGUAGGUGGCAAGCGUUGUCCGGAUUUAUUGGGCGUAAAGCGAGCGCAGGCGGUUUUUUAAGUCUGAUGUGAAAGCCUUCGGCUCAACCGAAGAAGUGCAUCGGAAACUGGGAAACUUGAGUGCAGAAGAGGACAGUGGAACUCCAUGUGUAGCGGUGAAAUGCGUAGAUAUAUGGAAGAACACCAGUGGCGAAGGCGGCUGUCUGGUCUGUAACUGACGCUGAGGCUCGAAAGUAUGGGUAGCAAACAGGAUUAGAUACCCUGGUAGUCCAUACCGUAAACGAUGAAUGCUAAGUGUUGGAGGGUUUCCGCCCUUCAGUGCUGCAGCUAACGCAUUAAGCAUUCCGCCUGGGGAGUACGGCCGCAAGGCUGAAACUCAAAGGAAUUGACGGGGGCCCGCACAAGCGGUGGAGCAUGUGGUUUAAUUCGAAGCUACGCGAAGAACCUUACCAGGUCUUGACAUACUAUGCAAAUCUAAGAGAUUAGACGUUCCCUUCGGGGACAUGGAUACAGGUGGUGCAUGGUUGUCGUCAGCUCGUGUCGUGAGAUGUUGGUUAA
rnacentral:rRNA from 2 species